UGGACAAGUGAUGUCAGUGUAUCCUGAACCAAGGGUUGUGAUUAAUCCAGUUCUGUCAGCUGAGUUCCCAU
rnacentral:snoRNA from 1 species